rnacentral:tRNA from 1 species
GGUUCCAUAGCAUAGUAGUUAGCAUGUCUGCUUUACAUGCAGAAAGUCCUAGGUUCACUCCUAGUGGAGCCA